GACGAACGCUGGCGGCGUGCUUAACACAUGCAAGUCGAACGGACAGGCCCGGCUUUUGUGGGGUGCUCGAGUGGCGAACGGAUGAUUAACACGUGAGUAACCUGCCCUUGACUUUGUGAUAACUUCAGGAAACUGGGGCUAAUACCGGAUAGUAGCUCCUGCUGCAAUGUGGGGGUUGGAAAGUUUCGGCGGUUGGGGAUGGACUCGCGGCUUGUCAGCUUGUUGGUGGGGUAGUGGAUUACCAAGGCUUUGACGGGUAGCCGGCCUGGGAGGGGGACCGGCCACAUUGGGACGGGGAUACGGCCCAGACUCCUACGGGAGGCAGGAGUGGGGAAGAGUGCACAAUGGGCGGAAGCCUGAUGCAGCAACGCCGCGUGCGGGAUGACGGCCUUCGGGUUGUAAACCGCUUUCGCCUGUGACGAAGAGUGAGUGACGGUAAUGGGUAAAGAAGCACCGGCUAACUACGUG
rnacentral:rRNA from 1 species